CUCAGGGAGGUAGUGACAAGAAAUAACAACACUGGAAAUUUUAUUUCUAGUGAUUGGAAUGAUGGGAAUUUAAACCCCUUUCAGAGUAACAAUUGGAGGGCAAGUCUGGUGCCAGCAGCCGCGGUAAUUCCAGCUCCAAUAGCGUAUAUUAAAGUUGUUGCAGUUAAAAAGCUCGUAGUUGGAUGUCUGCUGGAAGCAAUCAGUCCGCCCUAUUUGUAGGGUGUGCACUUGAUGAAUUCUGGCAUCUAUGUCCUAAUGUAAUACGGCGACGGUGUAUAUGGGUUAAUCCUAUAUACCCGUUUUUGUAUAUUAUAUUGGGAUAAUACCGUUACUUUGAGAAAAUUGGAGUGUUUGAAGCAGGCUAAUUGCCUUGAAUACUGCAGCAUGGAAUAACAAUAUAGGAUUUCGGUUCUAUUUUGUUGGUUUCUAGGACUGAAAUAAUGAUUAAUAGGGACAGUUGGGGGCAUUCGUAUUUAACUGUCAGAGGUGAAAUUCUUAGAUUUGUUAAAGACGAACUACUGCGAAAGCAUUUGCCAAAGAUGUUUUCGUUAAUCAAGAACGAAAGUUAGGGGCUCGAAGACGAUCAGAUACCGUCGUAGUCUUAACCAUAAACUAUGCCGACUAGAGAUAGGAAAAUGUCAUUUUUCUGACUU
rnacentral:rRNA from 1 species